CAUCUGCCCCCGUAGUAUUUCAAACCCCAACAAACAGGCAAUUCCAGGCAGAGCUAGGGGGGCGAGAUGGCGGCAGCCGAGUGUGGGAGCAGGGAGGAGAGGUGGAGCCUGGCCGGCGCCACGGCGCUCGUCACCGGCGGGAGCAAAGGGAUCGGGGGGGCCAUCGUGGAGGAGCUCGCCGGGUUCGGGGCCAGGGUGCACACCUGCUCCCGGAACGCCGCGGAGCUGGAGGAGUGCUGCCUGCGGUGGGAGGAGAAGGGCAUGCGCGUCACCGUCUCCGUUUGUCACGUCUCCGUGCCCGCCGACAGGGAGAAGCUCAUGGAUACGGUCCGGCAAACCUUCGACGGCAAGCUUAGCAUACUAGUGAACAAUGCAGGGCAACAUUUGGUGAAGCCCACCGUUGAGUGCACGAUGGAGGAGUACAAGAAUGUGAUGGCCACCAACCUGGAGUCCAGCUUCCAUCUCUGCCAACUCGCUCGCCCUCUUCUCGCGCGGGCCGUAGGAGGCAACAUCAUCAACAUCUCCUCCAUUGCAAGCUCCAUCGGCUUCGCAGGCUCCACAAUCUAUACCAUCACAAAAGAUCAAAUAGAGGCGGAGGCGGAGGCGGAGGAAGCGGUGCAUGACGGCGGCCGUCGUCAGAGGAGAUGAUUGAACCUCGUCGUCGACGUCCGGGCAAAGCAGUGCACUCCUAUGGUGAUUUUGAUGGCUUGUUUAGUGUUCAGAUCCACCACAAGGGUUUCUUCUAUGGGAGUGAGAGCAACAAGACUUACAUGGAUUAUGAGGUUGACUGGUUUGACAUAUGUGAGAGUGACACAUGGUCAAUGUUAUCGGGGGUCUAUGCAAAAAACGCCAUGCACGCGCCUCCCCGAACCGGCCUGUGUCGUUGACAGUGGGCCACUGCUUGCGUGGCAUGCCACGCCAUCAACGAAUACGCGGGCAGUCAACUAGAGUGACCGUAUAUGCACCUAAGCGCAAGUUAUCUGACCGAAAAACCGUAUUGUCAAAGCUGUAGCACUAAACUAUACAUCCAACGCAAGUUAUUGUCUACAAGUGUUAUUACCUCUUUUAUAAAUAUAUGUUGUGUUUGUAGGCGCACUGAACCAACUGACGUGGAGUUUGGCCACCGAGUGGGCCCCUCACAACAUCCGUGUGAACAGUGUCGCCCCAGGAUUCAUCGCAACUGAUAUGGUUGAAAAAAUAAAUAAGGAGUACAUGGAGCGGGAGCACGCGAAGACCCCGUUGCGACGGUGUGGCAAGCCAGCAGAGGUUGCCUCGACGGUGGCAUUUCUCUGCAUGCCGGCGGCUUCCUUCAUCACCGGGCAGGUCAU